CGGACUGAUUCUAUUUCGUUGGUUUCUAGGAUCACCGUAAUGAUUAAUAGGGAUAGUUGGGGGCAUUAGUAUUCAAUUGUCAGAGGUGAAAUUCUUGGAUUUAUUGAAGACUAACUACUGCGAAAGCAUUUGCCAAGGAUGUUUUCAUUAAUCAAGAACGAAAGUUAGGGGAUCGAAGACGAUCAGAUACCGUCGUAGUCUUAACCAUAAACUAUGCCGACUAGGGAUCGGACGAAGUUAAUUUUAUAAUGACGCGUUCGGCACCUUACGGGAAACCAAAGUGUUUGGGUUCCGGGGGGAGUAUGGUCGCAAGGCUGAAACUUAAAGGAAUUGACGGAAGGGCACCACCAGGGGUGGAGCCUGCGGCUUAAUUUGACGCAACACGGGGAAACUCACCAGGUCCAGA
rnacentral:rRNA from 1 species